CCUACGGGCGGCAGCAGUGGGGAAUAUUGGACAAUGGGGGGAACCCUGAUCCAGCCAUGCCGCGUGUGUGAAGAAGGCCCUCGGGUUGUAAAGCACUUUCAGUGAGGAAGAACGCCUGGUGGUUAAUACCCAUCAGGAAAGACAUCACUCACAGAAGAAGCACCGGCUAACUCCGUGCCAGCAGCCGCGGUAAUACGGAGGGUGCGAGCGUUAAUCGGAAUUACUGGGCGUAAAGCGCGCGUAGGUGGCUUGAUAAGCCGGUUGUGAAAGCCCCGGGCUCAACCUGGGAACGGCAUCCGGAACUGUCAAGCUAGAGUGCAGGAGAGGAAGGUAGAAUUCCCGGUGUAGCGGUGAAAUGCGUAGAGAUCGGGAGGAAUACCAGUGGCGAAGGCGGCCUUCUGGACCGACACUGACACUGAGGUGCGAAAGCGUGGGUAGCAAACAGGAUUAGAUACCCUAGUAGUC
rnacentral:rRNA from 1 species